AUGGACACGGGUUCAGACACUGGUGCUUCAGUGCCAGGGCCCUGGCUGUUGCCCCUUGCUUUCCAGAUGCCUGCUCGGUGGACAUUUCUGAAGCCCGUUUGGUUGGGGGAGUCAGUGAUGUGGAGGACUGUGGCUGACGUGAACGUCUGUGGCGUCCAGCCUGGAUCACGAGCAGGAAGCCUGAAAUGGGUGAUUGCGCUGGAAGAAAAUGAAGGGCAUGAAAGGCUAGAGUUAUUUAACCUUAGUUUUGCUGCCAGAGUAUGCCGCUGGAGACUUAGCUCCCUACUGGAACCAUAAGUUUCAAUUCUGCUAAUAGAGGAGAUAAUAUGCAUUAGUUAGGGUUGGCCCAAGAGAAGUGGAAAACAUCAGCUGUUAACAGGUAAUAAAAUCACUUUCCAUAUGUGAUCGUUUUAAAUCUGAACAACAAAUUCAUCUGUUUUGCCUUAAACAAAAGGUAAGAUGUGUGAAGACACAUAUUUGCAACCUACUAUGAGGACAUUUUUACCCUACAACGUGAAGCUUCUACCUUUUAUUUGGAGUUUGAGGCCGAGCUAAUUAUACUUACACCUGGGCAGUGCACAUGCAGUCACCUGAGAGAUGGUAGAGUGCAUGGUAGUUCAUUGUUUUAAAAGCGUGUUUCUCCCUGAGGAAGGUGGGGUUCAGCAGCGCCGGCGGCGCUUCCUUUCAUCCGCUCUGCUCCUGACUCCACUGUUGCCCUCGCCGAGGAACAAGGCGCUCAGGAAGCCGCGUGGAAGCCAUGGCCUUUAAAGAUACCGGAAAGACAGCCAGCUAUGCGACCAGCGGUGGUGAGACUCAUUGAAUUAGAAUGACUCUAACCAGCAUGCGACAGAAAAUCCUUGGAGAAGGUGUGUGCUGCUGACUGGAUCAGAGGUGCAAGGGAAAAGAAUCUCAAAGCGGAAGGAAGGACUUGUUCGGAUGCCUUCCAAGACUACGAGAAUCUCUACAAGAAAAACUCCAUGGAGAAGGUUCUAAGACUAGGGAUCGUUUUCAGAUGAGGAUCCACAGCAAUUCAGUGGCUUACUUGCACAGUCCUUCUGAGCUUGUUAAGCAGGUUACUCCAUCAGGACUGAGCCGGGAGUCCAGGUUGAAGUCACCAUUGCAGAUGCUUGAAUCAACGUUUUUAAUAAAUUGACUAUCAG
rnacentral:lncRNA from 1 species